UCAAAAAACAUGAUGACAGCAUAGUUCAGAUGAAUAAACAUUGAUUACAACCUUUAUUGUCUUUCGCUCCUAACUGAUAUUAAAU